rnacentral:rRNA from 1 species
CACGUAGGGGGCAAGCGUUGUCCGGAUUUAUUGGGCGUAAAGAGCUCGUAGGUGGUUCGGUAAGUCGGGUGUUAAACCCCCAGGCUCAACCUGGGGACGCCACUCGAUACUGCUCUGACUUGAGUUCGGUAGGGGAGUGGGGAAUUCCUGGUGUAGCGGUGAAAUGCGCAGAUAUCAGGAGGAACACCGGUGGCGAAGGCGCCACUCUGGGCCGAAACUGACGCUGAGGAGCGAAAGCGUGGGUAGCAAACAGG